AGAAUCAACGCUGGCGGCGUGCCUAACACAUGCAAGUCGAACGAGAAAGGGUAGCAAUACCUGAGUAAAGUGGCGCACGGGUGAGUAACACGUGACUAACCUACCCUGGAGUGGGGGAUAACUGAGGGAAACCUUAGCUAAUACCGCAUAACACCUACGGGUCAAAGGAGCAAUUCGCUUCAGGAGGGGUCGCGGCCGAUUAGUUAGUUGGCGGGGUAAUGGCCCACCAAGACAGUGAUCGGUAU
rnacentral:rRNA from 1 species